GAUGAACGCUGGCGGCGUGCCUAAUACAUGCAAGUCGAGCGAACAGACGAGGAGCUUGCUCCUCUGACGUUAGCGGCGGACGGGUGAGUAACACGUGGAUAACCUACCUAUAAGACUGGGAUAACUUCGGGAAACCGGAGCUAAUACCGUAUAAUAUAUUGAACCUCAUGGUUCAAUAGUGAAAGACGGUUUUGCUGUCACUUAUAGAUGGAUCCGCGCCGCAUUAGCUAGUUGGUAAGGUAACGGCUUACCAAGGCAACGAUGCGUAGCCGACCUGAGAGGGUGAUCGGCCACACUGGAACUGAGACACGGUCCAGACUCCUACGGGAGGCAGCAGUAGGGAAUCUUCCGCAAUGGGCGAAAGCCUGACGGAGCAACGCCGCGUGAGUGAUGAAGGUCUUCGGAUCGUAAAACUCUGUUAUUAGGGAAGAACAAAUGUGUAAGUAACUAUGCACGUCUUGACGGUACCUAAUCAGAAAGCCACGGCUAACUACGUG
rnacentral:rRNA from 1 species